rnacentral:rRNA from 1 species
AGUGAACGCUGGCGGUAGGCCUAACACAUGCAAGUCGAACGGCAGCACAGAGGAGCUUGCUCCUUGGGUGGCGAGUGGCGGACGGGUGAGGAAUACAUCGGAAUCUACUCUGUCGUGGGGGACAACGUAGGGAAACUUACGCUAAUACCGCAUACGACCUACGGGUGAAAGCAGGGGAUCUUCGGACCUUGCGCGAUUGAAUGAGCCGAUGUCGGAUUAGCUAGUUGGCGGGGUAAAGGCCAACCAGGGCGACGAUCCGUAGCUGGUCUGAGAGGAUGAUCAGCCACACUGGAACUGAGACACGGUCCAGACUCCUACGGGAGGCAGCAGUGGGGAAUAUUGGACAAUGGGCGCAAGCCUGAUCCAGCCAUACCGCGUGGGUGAAGAAGGCCUUCGGGUUGUAAAGCCCUUUUGUUGGGAAAGAAAUCCAUCUGGUUAAUACCCGGGUGGGAUGACGGUACCCAAAGAAUAAGCACCGGCUAACUUCGUGCCAGCCGCCGCCGUAA